rfam:Chelonia mydas contig165679, whole genome shotgun sequence.
AUAUUCUAUGAUUCAGGGGAGAUACCAUGAUCACGAAGGUGGUUUUCCCAGGGUGAGGCUCAUCCAUUGCACUGCAGUUGUGCUGACUCCUGAGAUUUCCCCAAAUGCGGGAAUCUCGACUGCAUAAUUUGUAGUAGUGAGUGACUGCAUUCGUGCUCUUUG